GACGAACGCUGGCGGCGUGCUUAACACAUGCAAGUCGAACGGAAAGGCCCUGCUUUUGUGGGGUGCUCGAGUGGCGAACGGGUGAGUAACACGUGAGUAACCUGCCCUUGACUUUGGGAUAACUUCAGGAAACUGGGGCUAAUACCGGAUAGGAGCUCCUGCUGCAUGGUGGGGGUUGGAAAGUUUCGGCGGUUGGGGAUGGACUCGCGGCUUAUCAGCUUGUUGGUGGGGUAGUGGCUUACCAAGGCUUUGACGGGUAGCCGGCCUGAGAGGGUGACCGGCCACAUUGGGACUGAGAUACGGCCCAGACUCCUACGGGAGGCAGCAGUGGGGAAUAUUGAAAAAUGGGCGGAAGCCUGAUGCAGCAACGCCGCGUGCGGGAUGACGGCCUUCGGGUUGUAAACCGCUUUCGCCGGUGACGAAGCGUGAGUGACGGUAAUGGGUAAAGAAGCACCGGCUAACUACGUG
rnacentral:rRNA from 1 species